rnacentral:rRNA from 1 species
CUACGGGGCGCUGCAGUGGGGAAUAUUGCACAAUGGGCGCAAGCCUGAUGCAGCCAUGCCGCGUGUAUGAAGAAGGCCUUCGGGUUGUAAAGUACUUUCAGCGGGGAGGAAGGGAGUAAAGUUAAUACCUUUGCUCAUUGACGUUACCCGCAGAAGAAGCACCGGCUAACUCCGUGCCGGCAGCCGCGGUAAUACGGAGGGUGCAAGCGUUAAUAGGAAUUACUGGGCGUAAAGCGCACGCAGGCGGUUUGUUAAGUCAGAUGUGAAAUCCCCGGGCUCAACCUGGGAACUGCAUCUGAUACUGGCAAGCUUGAGUCUCGUAGAGGGGGGUAGAAUUCCAGGUGUAGCGGUGAAAUGCGUAGAGGUCUGGAGGAAUACCGGUGGCGAAGGCGGCCCCCUGGACGAAGACUGACGCUCAGGUGCGAAAGCGUGGGGAGCAAACAGGAUUAGAUACCCCCGUAGUC